rnacentral:rRNA from 1 species
GACGAACGCUGGCGGCGUGCUUAACACAUGCAAGUCGAACGGAAAGGCCCUGCUUUUGUUGGGUGCUCGAGUGGCGAACGGGUGAGUAACACGUGAGUAACCUGCCCUUGACUUUGGGAUAACUUCAGGAAACUGGGGCUAAUACCGGAUAUGAUCUCCUGCUGCAUGGUGUGGGUUGGAAAGUUUCGGCGGUUGUGGAUGUACUCGCGGCUUAUCAGCUUGUUGGUGGGGUAGUGGCUUACCAAGGGUUUGACGGGUAGCCGGCCUGAGAGGGUGACCGGCCACAUGGGGACUGAGAUACGGACCAGAAGCCUACGGGAGGCAGCAGUGGGGAAUAUUGCACAAUGGGCGGAAGCCUGAUGCAGAAACGCCGGGUGCGGGAUGACGGCCUUCGGGUUGUAAACCGCUGUCGCCUGUGACGAAGCGUGAGUGACGGUAAUGGGUAAAGAAGCACCGGCUAACUACGUG